rnacentral:misc_RNA from 1 species
CUGAACAACUGCAAGCUG